CCUACGGGAGGCUGCAGUGGGGAAUAUUGCACAAUGGUGGAAACCCUGAUGCAGCGACGCCGCGUGAGUGAAGAAGUAAUUCGUUAUGUAAAGCUCUAUCAGCAGGGAAGAAAAUAACGGUACCUGACUAAGAAGCCGCGUCUAACUACGUGCCAGCAGCCGCGGCAACACGUAGGGGGCAAGCGUUAUCCGGAUUUACUGGGUGUAAAGGGGGCGUAGACGGCAGUGCAAGUCUGGAGUGAAACGCGGGGGCUCAACCCCCGGACCGCCCUGGAAACUGGAAGGCUGGAGUGCAGGAGAGGUAUGUGGAAUUCGUGGUGUAGCGGUGAAAUGCGUAGAUA
rnacentral:rRNA from 1 species